CCGGCACGGGUGAGUAACACGUAUCCAACCUGCCGUCUACUCUUGGCCAGCCUUCUGAAAGGAAGAUUAAUCCAGGAUGGCAUCAUGAGUUCACAUGUCCGCAUGAUUAAAGGUAUUUUCCGGUAGACGAUGGGGAUGCGUUCCAUUAGAUAGUAGGCGGGGUAACGGCCCACCUAGUCAACGAUGGAUAGGGGUUCUGAGAGGAAGGUCCCCCAUAUUGGAACUGAGACACGGUCCAA
rnacentral:rRNA from 1 species